AUUGAACGCUGGCGGCAGGCCUAACACAUGCAAGUCGAGCGGAUGACGGGAGCUUGCUCCUUGAUUCAGCGGCGGACGGGUGAGUAAUGCCUAGGAAUCUGCCUGGUAGUGGGGGACAACGUUUCGAAAGGAACGCUAAUACCGCAUACGUCCUACGGGAGAAAGCAGGGGACCUUCGGGCCUUGCGCUAUCAGAUGAGCCUAGGUCGGAUUAGCUUGUUGGUGAGGUAAUGGCUCACCAAGGCGACGAUCCGUAACUGGUCUGAGAGGAUGAUCAGUCACACUGGAACUGAGACACGGUCCAGACUCCUACGGGAGGCAGCAGUGGGGAAUAUUGGACAAUGGGCGAAAGCCUGAUCCAGCCAUGCCGCGUGUGUGAAGAAGGUCUUCGGAUUGUAAAGCACUUUAAGCUGGGAGGAAGGGUUGUAGAUUAAUACUCUGCAAUUUUGACGUUACCGACAGAAUAAGCACCGGCUAACUCUGUG
rnacentral:rRNA from 1 species